rnacentral:rRNA from 1 species
UACGUAGGGCGCAAGCGUUGUCCGGAAUUAUUGGGCGUAAGAGCUCGUAGGCGGCUUGUCACGUCGGAUGUGAAAGCCCGGGGCUUAACCCCGGGUCUGCAUUCGAUACGGGCAGCUAGAGUUCGGUAGGGGAGACUGGAAUUCCUGGUGUAGCGGUGAAAUGCGCAGAUAUCAGGAGGAACACCGGUAGGCGAAGGCGGGCACC